AGUGAACGCUGGCGGUAGGCCUAACACAUGCAAGUCGAACGGCAGCACAGUAAGAGCUUGCUCUUACGGGUGGCGAGUGGCGGACGGGUGAGGAAUACAUCGGAAUCUACUUUUUCGUGGGGGAUAACGUAGGGAAACUUACGCUAAUACCGCAUACGACCUACGGGUGAAAGCAGGGGAUCUUCGGACCUUGCGCGAUUGAAUGAGCCGUGGCCGGAUUAGCUAGUUGGCGGGGUAAGGCCCACCAAGGCGACGAUCCGUAGCUGGUCUGAGAGGAUGAUCAGCCACACUGGAACUGAGACACGGUCCAAACUCCUACGGGGGGCAGCAGUGGGGAAUAUUGGACAAUGGGCGCAAGCCUGAUCCAGCCAUACCGCGUGGGUGAAGAAGGCCUUCGGGUUGUAAAGCCCUUUUGUUGGGAAAGAAAAGCAGCAGGUUAAUACCCCGCUGUUCUGACGGUACCCAAAGAAUAAGCACCGGCUAACUUCGUG
rnacentral:rRNA from 1 species